AAACAGAUGCUAAUACCGGAUAACAACAGAUGAUGCCUAUCAACUGUUUAAAAGAUGGUUCUGCUAUCACUCUUGGAUGGACCUGCGGUGCAUUAGCUAGUUGGUAGGGUAACGGCCUACCAAGGCGAUGAUGCAUAGCCGAGUUGAGAGACUGAUGGCCACAUUGGGACUGAGACACGGCCCAAACUCCUACGGGAGGCAGCAGCC
rnacentral:rRNA from 1 species